GUCGAGCGGACAGAAGGGAGCUUGCUCCCGGAUGUUAGCGGCGGACGGGUGAGUAACACGUGGGUAACCUGCCUGUAAGACUGGGAUAACUCCGGGAAACCGGAGCUAAUACCGGAUAGUUCCUUGAACCGCAUGGUUCAAGGAUGAAAGACGGUUUCGGCUGUCACUUACAGAUGGACCCGCGGCGCAUUAGCUAGUUGGUGAGGUAACGGCUCACCAAGGCGACGAUGCGUAGCCGACCUGAGAGGGUGAUCGGCCACACUGGGACUGAGACACGGCCCAGACUCCUACGGGAGGCAGCAGUAGGGAAUCUUCCGCAAUGGACGAAAGUCUGACGGAGCAACGCCGCGUGAGUGAUGAAGGUUUUCGGAUCGUAAAGCUCUGUUGUUAGGGAAGAACAAGUGCAAGAGUAACUGCUUGCACCUUGACGGUACCUAACCAGAAAGCCACGGCUAACUACGUGCCAGCAGCCGCGGUAAUACGUAGGUGGCAAGCGUUGUCCGGAAUUAUUGGGCGUAAAGGGCUCGCAGGCGGUUUCUUAAGUCUGAUGUGAAAGCCCCCGGCUCAACCGGGGAGGGUCAUUGGAAACUGGGAAACUUGAGUGCAGAAGAGGAGAGUGGAAUUCCACGUGUAGCGGUGAAAUGCGUAGAGAUGUGGAGGAACACCAGUGGCGAAGGCGACUCUCUGGUCUGUAACUGACGCUGAGGAGCGAAAGCGUGGGGAGCGAACAGGAUUAGAUACCCUGGUAGUCCACGCCGUAAACGAUGAGUGCUAAGUGUUAGGGGGUUUCCGCCCCUUAGUGCUGCAGCUAACGCAUUAAGCACUCCGCCUGGGGAGUACGGUCGCAAGACUGAAACUCAAAGGAAUUGACGGGGGCCCGCACAAGCGGUGGAGCAUGUGGUUUAAUUCGAAGCAACGCGAAGAACCUUACCAGGUCUUGACAUCCUCUGACAACCCUAGAGAUAGGGCUUUCCCUUCGGGGACAGAGUGACAGGUGGUGCAUGGUUGUCGUCAGCUCGUGUCGUGAGAUGUUGGGUUAAGUCCCGCAACGAGCGCAACCCUUGAUCUUAGUUGCCAGCAUUCAGUUGGGCACUCUAAGGUGACUGCCGGUGACAAACCGGAGGAAGGUGGGGAUGACGUCAAAUCAUCAUGCCCCUUAUGACCUGGGCU
rnacentral:rRNA from 1 species